GCCAGCAUGGCAUAGUCGUUUGAGCAUUAGGCUACAACUCUGGAGACCAGGGUUCGAUUCCCAGAAUGGCC